AUGAUUUGCUUUGCUUUCGUUGCUCACCCACGCAGCAACGGGAAAGCCGAGCGCGCGAACGCAGAAGUACUAAAGGGGCUGAAGACCAGAACCUUCGAUAGGUUGAAGAAGAGCGGCAAAAACUGGACUGUAGAACUCCCCUCCAUGCCUCUUCUCUGGGUUUAUCGCCACACCCUGCAUGGAGAUGAUUUGGCCGAGGUAGGAGAUGCUAUCUUGCUUAAACGAGCACUUGGACUCUUUGGCAAGCAGCUAGUGCUCCCGAAGCAGCUCAAACACGGUGUGCAAAUGCUCGAGGUAGUCUUCCAAGUCUUCUCCUUGUCGUCGUUGCACAUGCGGAUCUGGUGGUGGCCCGCACGCAGGUCUAGCUUGAGAAGAAUGUCGCUCCCGUAA
rnacentral:rRNA from 1 species